GAGACACGCUGGCGGCGUGCCUAACACAUGCAAGUCGAACGGAGUUAAGUCUUCGGGAUUUAACUUAGUGGCGAACGGGUGAGUAACGCGUGAGGAACCUACCUUUCAGUGGGGGACAACAGUUGGAAACGACUGCUAAUACCGCAUAAUGCAAUUGAGUCGCAUGGCUCUGAUUGCCAAAGAUUUAUCGCUCUAAGAUGGCCUCGCGUCUGAUUAGCUAGUUGGUGGGGUAACGGCCCACCAAGGCGACGAUCAGUAGCCGGACUGAGAGGUUGACCGGCCACAUUGGGACUGAGACACGGCCCAGACUCCUACGGGAGGCAGCAGUGGGGAAUAUUGGGCAAUGGGCGCAAGCCUGACCCAGCAACGCCGCGUGAAGGAAGAAGGCUUUCGGGUUGUAAACUUCUUUAUAAGGGACGAAACAAAUGACGGUACCUUAUGAAUAAGCCACGGCUAACUACGUG
rnacentral:rRNA from 1 species